rnacentral:ncRNA from 1 species
ACGUGCUCCGGGGUCAGUGAGAUUCUGAACCGGCGGUGACAGUCCGCGACCCGCGGUCCUCCCAGGAGGGCGGCGGUUGACCUGGUGGAACUCCAGGACCGACGGUGAUGGCGCAGCCGCAAGGCUGGCGUCGAGUCCGGAUGAGAGGAAGCACAG